UAGGGAAUCUUCCACAAUGGACGCAAGUCUGAUGGAGCAACGCCGCGUGAGUGAAGAAGGUUUUCGGAUCGUAAAGCUCUGUUGUUGGUGAAGAAGGAUAGAGGCAGUAACUGGUCUUUAUUUGACGGUAAUCAACCAGAAAGUCACGGCUAACUACGUGCCAGCAGCCGCGGUAAUACGUAGGUGGCAAGCGUUGUCCGGAUUUAUUGGGCGUAAAGCGAGCGCAGGCGGAAUGAUAUGUCUGAUGUGAAAGCCCACGGCUCAACCGUGGAACUGCAUCGGAAACUGUCAUUCUUGAGUGCAGAAGAGGAGAGUGGAAUUCCAUGUGUAGCGGUGGAAUGCGUAGAUAUAUGGAAGAACACCAGUGGCGAAGGCGGCUCUCUGGUCUGCAACUGACGCUGAGGCUCGAAAGCAUGGGUAGCGAACAGG
rnacentral:rRNA from 1 species